rfam:Schistosoma rodhaini strain Burundi genome assembly, scaffold: SROB_scaffold0020522
ACCUUGCUGACGAGUCCCAAAUAGGACGAAACACGGGUUCAGGGGU